GGAAGAAGAAAAAUCUGAGCUCCACCACUGGACCACAUGGACCUGUAGAGAUAGAGUUAGACUCUUGUCCUGCGUAUGAGAACAUCUCAGACACUGCAGCACAGACAGAAGACCCAGAGGAGCAGGAUGUCCUGGUGUGAAGUCCAGUCAGAUGCAGCUGAACCAGAGGCUGGACUCACCUGAUGGAAACAAAGUAGUACGACAUUGAAAUAUCCCUGAGGAGAGCGAGGCUGUGGAGG